UUGGCAAAAACAUUGUGUGGAUCCACAAAAUUUGCUUUAUUAAUCAAACUGGAGGAAUCCAACAACAGGAACACUUGAAAUUCACAUCAGAUUAUACAAUCAAACCAACUAUUCUUCAAAAUUACUCUCAAUACUACAAUCUGACUACAAACUAUCUACUAGCAAAUAUCCACAGAAGGAAAUAGUUAAGGAAAAAAGCAUGAGACUCACGGAGCUUUUUGGGGGUUCGUGGG
rnacentral:misc_RNA from 1 species